CUACGGGCGGCUGCAGUGAGGAAUAUUGCACAAUGGGGGGAACCCUGAUGCAGCAACGCCGCGUGGAGGAUGACGCAUUUCGGUGUGUAAACUCCUUUUAUAUGUCAAGAAAAUGACGGUAGCAUAUGAAUAAGCACCGGCUAACUCCGUGCCAGCAGCUGCGGUAAUACGGAGGGUGCAAGCGUUACUCGGAAUCACUGGGCGUAAAGGACGCGUAGGCGGGUUGGAAAGUCAGGUGUGAAAUCCUACAGCUUAACUGUAGAACUGCACUUGAAACUUCUAAUCUAGAGUAUGGGAGGGGGAGAUGGAAUUAGUGGUGUAGGGGUAAAAUCCGUAGAUAUCACUAGGAAUACCUAAAGCGAAGGCGAUCUCCUGGAACAUUACUGACGCUAAGGCGUGAAAGCGUGGGGAGCAAACAGGAUUAGUACCCCCGUAGUC
rnacentral:rRNA from 1 species